rnacentral:misc_RNA from 1 species
GGAGCGUAGCUUAGAGUGAGAAAAUAAUGGCGUUGGAGACGUGCUUCAGAGCCUGGGCGACUCUGCACGCCCCACAGCCACCGUCCUCCGGCGGCAGUAGGGACAGACUCCUCCUCUCCGGCGCCGGCAGCAGCCAGUCCAAGCCAAGGUUGUCCGUCGCCUCGCCGUCACCGCUCCGACCUGCCUCCCGCUUCGCCUGCCAGUGCAGCAACGUCGUCGACGAAGUGGUGGUGGCGGACGAGAAGAACUGGGACAGCAUGGUGCUGGGGAGCGAGGCGCCGGUGCUGGUGGAGUUCUGGGCACCGUGGUGCGGACCGUGCAGGAUGAUCGCGCCGGUGAUCGACGAGCUGGCCAAGGAGUACGUCGGCAAGAUCAAGUGCUGCAAGGUGAACACGGACGACUCACCAAACAUCGCCACCAACUACGGCAUCCGGAGCAUCCCCACCGUCCUCAUGUUCAAGAACGGCGAGAAGAAGGAGAGCGUCAUCGGCGCCGUCCCCAAGACCACCCUCGCCACCAUCAUCGACAAGUACGUCAGCAGCUGAUUGCAUCAUCAUCGUCGUCUUCUUCCUCUUCUUCUUCAGCUGCAUCAAUCAAAUCAGACUUGAUCGAUCAGAGCUUCGUUUGUAAGUUGUAACUAAGCUACCCCCUGCUUUGCCUCUCUAUGUGUAUCGCCAGCCACCCCUUUCUCUUCAUCGUCCUUAAUUGUUGUAAUCCUACUACUCCAUGGAAUCAAUACUGUAACUAUUAUUGAU